rnacentral:sRNA from 1 species
AUUUAUUGUAAUUUACUUUGAAGUAAAUUCCAGAAACAUCUGAGAUUUUAACACUAUUGUUUUCCCCUUUAUAGCUCAGGCAUUUGAAAGGAUGAUGAGUCCAACUGGUUCUAAUCUUAAAUCUAAUCAUUCUGAUGAAUGUACUACUGUCCAGCCUCCUCAGGAGAACCAAACAUCCAGUAUACCUUCACCAACAACUUUGCCAGUCUCAGCACUUAAACAACCAGGUGUUGAAGGACUGUGUUCCAAAGAACAGAAGAGAGUAUGGUUUGCAGAUGGUAUAUUGCCCAAUGGUGAAGUUGCAGAUACAACAAAAUUAUCAUCUGGAAGUAAAAGAUGUUCUGAAGACUUUAGUCCUCUCUCACCUGAUAUGCCUAUGUAUUUCAGAUUAUAGGUUACUGUGUGAUAUUAACAAGUAUGUCUGCAAUAAGAUUAGUCUUCUACCUAAUGAUGAGGACAGUUUGCCCCCACUUCUGGUUGCAUCUGGAGAAAAGGGAUCAGUGCCUGUAGUAGAAGAACAUCCAUCUCAUGAGCAGAUCAUUUUGCUUCUUGAAGGUGAAGGCUUUCAUCCUGUUACAUUUGUCCUAAAUGCUAAUCUACUCGUGAAUGUCAAAUUCAUAUUUUAUUCCUCAGACAAAUAUUGGUACUUUUCAACCAAUGGAUUGCAUGGCUUGGGACAGGCAGAAAUUAUUAUUCUAUUGUUAUGUUUGCCAAAUGAAGAUACUAUUCCUAAGGACAUCUUCAGACUAUUUAUCACCAUAUAUAAGGAUGCUCUAAAAGGAAAAUACGUAGAAAACUUGGACAAUAUUACCUUUACUGAGAGUUUUCUCAGUAGCAAGGAUCACGGAGGAUUCCUGUUUAUUACACCUACUUUUCAGAAACUUGAUGAUCUCUCAUUACCAAGUAAUCCUUUUCUUUGUGGAGUUCUUAUCCAGAAGCUUGAGAUUCCCUGGGCAAAGGUUUUUCCUAUGCGUUUAAUGUUGAGAUUGGGUGCAGAAUAUAAAGCAUAUCCUGCUCCUCUAACGAGCAUCAGAGGCCGAAAACCUCUUUUUGGAGAAAUAGGACACACUAUUAUGAACUUACUUGUUGACCUUCGAAAUUACCAGUAUACCUUGCAUAAUAUAGAUCAACUGUUGAUUCAUAUGGAAAUGGGAAAAAGCUGCAUAAAAAUACCACGGAAAAAGUACAGCGAUGUAAUGAAAGUACUAAAUUCUUCCAAUGAGCAUGUCAUUAGCAUUGGAGCAAGUUUCAGUACAGAAGCAGAUUCUCAUCUAGUCUGUAUACAGAAUGAUGGAAUUUAUCAAACACAGGCCAACAGUGCCACUGGCCAUCCUAGAAAAGUGACAGGUGCAAGUUUUGUGGUAUUCAAUGGAGCUCUAAAAACAUCUUCAGGAUUUCUUGCUAAGUCCAGCAUAGUUGAAGAUGGCUUAAUGGUACAAAUAACUCCAGAGACCAUGAAUGGCUUGCGGCUAGCUUUACGAGAACAGAAAGACUUUAAAAUUACAUGUGGGAAAGUUGAUGCAGUAGACCUGAGAGAAUACGUGGAUAUCUGCUGGGUAGAUGCUGAAGAAAAAGGAAACAAAGGAGUUAUCAGUUCAGUGGAUGGAAUAUCAUUACAAGGAUUUCCAAGUGAAAAAAUAAAACUGGAAGCAGAUUUUGAAACCGAUGAGAAGAUUGUAAAAUGUACCGAGGUGUUCUACUUUCUAAAGGACCAGGAUUUAUCUAUUUUAUCAACUUCUUAUCAGUUUGCAAAAGAAAUAGCCAUGGCUUGUAGUGCUGCGCUGUGCCCUCACCUGAAAACUCUAAAGAGUAAUGGGAUGAAUAAAAUUGGACUCAGAGUUUCCAUUGACACUGAUAUGGUUGAAUUUCAGGCAGGAUCUGAAGGCCAACUUCUGCCUCAGCAUUAUCUAAAUGAUCUUGAUAGUGCUCUGAUACCUGUGAUCCAUGGUGGGACCUCCAACUCUAGUUUACCAUUAGAAAUAGAAUUAGUGUUUUUCAUUAUAGAACAUCUUUUUUAGUGAAAGAAUGUGCCAUAUUACAUAUUGCAACCUAAUUUGUUAAAACUAACUCCAGCACUAAAGCUGAAAUGCCACAAACACUAAAAGUAUAAAUAUGUCUGAUUUUUGAAACACAUAAGCUUUGCUCUUUAGGAAUGAUCUUUUCAAAUCAUUAGCACAAUAUUUAAAUAUCUAAAAAUUUAAGAGAUCCAUACUUUCUGAAGCUUUACAAUUAAUUUAAGUACUAAAAAGACAAGGAUUUCUUUUAAGAAAUUUGUAGCAUUUACUGUGUUAUUUAAAUGCUAAGCCAAAGUAUCUGCACUUAGGUAUACCUCUUUAUGCCAAUAAUGAUUUUAAUGAAGGCUCUUUUCAGAUGUAACCUUAUGAAGGAAAUAUCUGCUUUGUGUAUAUGCCAGUUAGAAUACUGGUUUCUAAAGUCUGUCAAAUUGUAUUUCAGUGGCACAAAAACCAGUUUCGAGGUCUUAGACUUAUAAUUCUUUGAAUAAAACUGAUAACUUAUUUGUAUAAUUGGAGUGGAGACCUACCUCCAUAAUUAGAUAAACUCUUUUUGGAUUAUAAUCAGAAUUUUGCCUUUUUUCUUCUCAAAUUAUUACAUAUGUAUGUAUUAUAUAUCCACAUAUAUAGUUUUUCCUGAUUAAAUGGAUAUUAAAAUAAUUGCGGGUGCUUCAGGACUUUUUGCUUCUAUAUUUAAGUAUAUUGUUUUUAUAGCAAGAACAUAUUCUGAAUGUGUUUUAUAAAUCUUUAAUAAUUUAUAUAUAGGUAAUAUUUUUGUAUCACAAUGCAUUAUUUUUUUCCUCCUUUCCUUCCAAAGUAUACCACUGUAUUUACCACUUCUAAGAGUGACUGACGACGGGCCAGAUGACCCUUGAAGUAGUCAUUAUGUAGCAAUAAAUGAAGCCUGAAACAGGUUUUUUUACUUCCACUUUAAUCCUUAGAAAUUUCUUGGCAACUUCGCAUAUUUUCAUUGACACCAAUGUAUAAGUAUAAAUUUAAAUGAACUAAUUACUUUUGCAUAUUUUAAAUUCUUUAUAUGGCAGUUAUUUUUUAUAACAGGAUAUUAACAUAAGUUAAAUCCUAUGUAUUUGAAAUUGUUACAGAGCUUUCCUCUUUACUUCAAACAGCAAAAAAGUGGGGGGCAUAUUGUAGUCCUGUCAUUUAAGUUAUGUAAAAAUUUUAAUCAUUAUUUUGAUGCUUUAAACAUUCUCAUGUGUAAUAUAUGUUUUUGUAUCAAAAACACUCAUAUAUUUCAAGAAAAAGAAAUUAUGUUAAAUAGCCCUGUUUUAAGAAAAAUAUUUAUGAAGCACCUCAACUUGAAGAUCAAGUCAAAGUUAUAACUCAGGAUCUGAGGUCUCAAGCUAGGAGAGACUGAGAAUUUUAAUCAGUUUGGGCAUAUAGUUUGGACUGAAUCACAUCUGUAGUACUUAGCCAAAGACAAUUUGGAGGAGAAUAUCAGCCUUCUGGAAGUAGCUACUUCCUGAACAAUGUAAAGUGUCGCAGAUAUUCAAUAAAAUGGCAACCUGUUAUAAUUUGUGAAAUUUAUUGAAAUGGUGUAAGAUGAAAACAAUUGCAUAUCAAACCCAAUUUAUGUUUUCUAAAUAUAGUGUAUGUAUUCUGCCAUGUAAGUAAUUGAACAGUCUUAAAAUAACCAAAUGGUAGAGGGCUGUUCCAUGAUGGGAUAGCUUUGGAUUUGUUUUCAUAAAAUCUCUACAUUCAAUAAAAAUUGGAAUUAUGUGCCUGAAGUUUGGAGGCACAUUUUGAAGUAUUCUUUGUAGAC